GGAGGAGCCAGAGGAGCUGAGUGACGGCCCCCAUCCCUCCAUCGUUCCUCUGAUGGAAGCUCCACCAAUCACAGAAGCUGAGACUCGCGGCCCCGCCUCCAACUAUAUCACUGUUCACUACUCCAGGUUGUCCAGCACGGAUCAGGUGCAGGUGCACAACCUCCCGCUGGGCGGCAUGAAGAAGCCAAACGAUUCCUCCAAAGUUGUUUACACUUUACUGCCCCGGACGCGGCACUGACCAGGAGGACACGGGUUUGUGAGCUCAGCCACAUGUAAACCACUGUCACGUGAUCCAGUCCCCUUGCAGCCGGCUUCCUACGGCACCGGACACCACCGGAAAUUACCGGAAAUCACUGGAAACCAGCGAAAACUGAUCACACAGACUGGUGUCUGCAGCAGCAUGUGGGCCGGUCUUUCAGUCCAGCUCCUGAACUGUCUUGCAUGUCUUCCAUUUUCUUUCAAAGCAUCCCACCACAUUAUUCUUCAGAUGAAGUGACUCUGCUCAAAAACAUCUCAAGAGGACAACAUAAGGAGGAAACCCCUGUAAACAUGCUCACUUUUACUUCUUCCCUCUGUAAGAUGUGCUGUUUUUCUUGUCAGUUUUUGUGGAUUCUAUACCCUGAUACAUUUAACAAAGUAUGUGCAGAUGGCACACGCAUCACUGGUUGCUACAUUAUCCUUUGCAUCCUCCUGCACAUCUGCACAUCUGAAAAUGUUAAUCACUUGUAUGAAACAUCACCAAGAACGUGUGACGUGUAGAAAGGAUAUGAAGCAUUUAAGAUGAAUUUUCUCUCUCUGCUGUUCUUGUUCUGCAGCUCAGAAUCUAAAUAA